rnacentral:lncRNA from 1 species
UGUUGAUACUGCUGAGGGCUACUCAGGACUGCAUCAGUGAGGUAUUUUAACCUUUCCAACAGUCUGUUUCCUGUGUCUCUCAAGAGAUGAAGGAGAAAAGGCCCAUCUCUGUGGGUGUUGAACCAUGGGAGCAGGGAGUAUCCUGACAAGGACUGAGAGGUUAAGGAAGGAGCUAGGCUCAAGAUUCAAGGGGACAUAUGCCUGACCACCCACCAGCCAACAAUGCAACUCUGGAUACAAGUGCCUGUGUCCUUCCUCCAGUUGCUGGAAUUUAGCUACUAGAUCUAUGCUCCAUCAGCUUCCAGGAGCUCCAACCAUGAUGUCCUGGUCAUGCUGGUCAAGAACGGUUCCCUCAUCCCAACCCCUGACUUGGGUUUGCAACAUGUCCUGGAACCUGGACCACCAGCACCAGGUGAGCCACCCAAGGGAAAUAAGCCCCUUUGGCUCCAUUUGCCCAUUUAUUAGGCUGAAUGGUCAUGUCUUAUCUUUUCCAGCAGAUGCUGUAACAAAAUUCCUGAACAGGAUGUGAAAGUGUUUCAGCUGAGCCUUGAGAGGUGAACGUACCUUGGCACCUGUCCCCUGGAUGGGACAACUUGAGGAAGGGCCAUCCAUAUUCCUGUUUCCUACCCAGGACACUGCUAAUGUGCAUAUGAGGAGGGGGACAAGCUGAACCUGAUAUGUUUCGUACUCAACACAGCACAUCAAUCAUAUACUGCUAUGUAACAGGCCCUCCUGGAUGCCAUCAGCCUGGCACUGCUUUACUACACUGUUAAGAGUCCCUGUCUGUGACAUGGAGGCAUGUCAGUACCUGGUACUGAUAUGGAGGUGUCCAUGAGAGUCUGAUGAAACACCUGGCUGCCCCCAGUGAUGAGAGUGGAAUGAAGUCAACCUCUGCUUUAUUCUCACAUUCUAUGAGUCUGGACAUCAUGAACGAGGAUGUUGGGAGGUCUGUAUCUAGCCUCCUGUAGCAGACUCAUCUCCCUCCUGACUUCUUCAUCUAAAGGUGUGUCUGUGGAUUCGAAUGCAGUCUUCCGUGCUGGUGAUGCCAGGUGUGCCAGAGAUUUGCUUGCCAAGGGACCAGGAGCCUCUGCUCUUACAUGUUGCAAAAUACUACUGUACACCAGCAUCCAGGUGCUAUUGCUUCCAGGUUCAUGUCUCCUGAUGAAUCCCAGGCUUUUGCAUACAAGUAAAGAAUUCAUAUUUCUCUCAACAAUUAACUAAAGAGGAGUAGAGGAAGAACCAGGUCUCCUAGUAAUCCCCACUUCUCAACAUAGACACAUUUG